UACGUAGGGGGCGAGCGUUGUCCGGAUUUACUGGGCGUAAAGAGCGCGCAGGCGGUCGUUCAAGUCGCGUGUGAAAGCCCCCGGCUCAACUGGGGAGGGUCACGCGAUACUGAUCGACUCGAAGGCAGGAGAGGGUAGUGGAAUUCCCGGUGUAGUGGUGAAAUGCGUAGAUAUCGGAAGGAACAUCAGUGGCGAAAGCGACUUCCUGGACCAAUACUGACGCUCAUGUGCGAAAGCGUGGGGAGCAAACAGG
rnacentral:rRNA from 1 species